rnacentral:rRNA from 1 species
GACGAACGCUGGCGGCGUGCUUAACACAUGCAAGUCGAACGGAAAGGCCCUGCUUUUGUGGGGUUCUCGAGUGGCGAACGUGUGAGUAACACGUGAGUAACCUGCCCUUUACUUGGUGAUAACUUCAGGAAACUGGUGCUAAUACCUGAUAGGAGCUCCUGCUGCAUGGUGGUGUUUGGAAAGUUUCGGCGGUUGGGGAUGGACUCGCGGCUUAUCAGCUUGUUGGUGGGGUAGUUGCUUACCAAGGCUUUGACGGGUAGCCGGCCUGAGAGGGUGACCGGCCACAUUGGGACUGAGAUACGGCCCAGACUCCUACGGGAGGCAGAAGUGGGGAAUAUUGCACAAUGGGCGGAAGCGUGAUGCAGAAACGCCGCGUGCGGGAUGACGGCCUUCGGGUUGUAAACCGCUUUAGCUUGUGACGAAGCGUGAGUGACGGUAAUGAGUAAAGAAGCACCGGCUAACUACGUG